rnacentral:rRNA from 1 species
UGAGGAAUAUUGGUCAAUGGGCGCAAGCCUGAACCAGCCAUCCCGCGUGAAGGAUGAAGGUCCUAUGGAUUGUAAACUUCUUUUAUACGCCAAGAAAAAGCAGGACGUGUUCUGCUCUGACGGUAGUGUAUGAAUAAGCAUCGGCUAACUCCGUGCCAGCAGCCGCGGUAAUACGGAGGAUGCAAGCGUUAUCCGGAUUCAUUGGGUUUAAAGGGUGCGUAGGCGGCUUUUUAAGUCAGUGGUGAAAUCCUGUCGCUUAACGAUAGAAUUGCCAUUGAUACUGAGAAGCUUGAGUACAAUUGAGGUAAGCGGAAUGUGUAGUGUAGCGGUGAAAUGCUUAGAUAUUACACAGAACACCAAUUGCGAAGGCAGCUUACUAAACUGUAACUGACGCUGAUGCACGAAAGCGUGGGGAGCGAACAGG